AGGCUUCGCUUGGUAUCGAGGCAUAUCUAACAUUAUUAGAUAAAAUGGAGUUAGGAUAAAAACAUAUAAAUAUAUACUUCUGCAUUCUCAGGUGGGAUCGCAGAAAAUAUAUCAUAACUGACUCAUCGCAACAUACAGAACACUAUAUUACGUAUGGAAACAAACAGAUAUUUUUCCAUCGUACUUUCUCACCGCACGUAAUGCAAUCUCCCCGCAAUCCCAAACGAAGCCUAAGAAGCACAUUACGGCACAU
rnacentral:lncRNA from 1 species